rnacentral:rRNA from 1 species
AGUUGGGGGCAUCAGUAUUCUGAAGCGAGAGGUGAAACUCUUGGACCUUCGGAAGACUAACAACUGCGAAAGCAUUUGCCUAGGAUGUUCUCUUUAAUCAAGAACGAAAGUUGGGGGAUCGAAGACGAUCAGAUACCGUCGUAGUCUCAACUAUAAACUAUGCCAGCUAGGGAUUGGUGGACGUUUAUUUACGACUCCAUCAGCACCUUAUGAGAAAUCAAAGCAUUUGGGUUCCGGGGGGAGUAUGGUCGCAAGGCUGAAACUUAAAGGAAUUGACGGGAGGGCACCACCAGGAGUGGAGCCUGUGGCUUAAUUUGACUCAACACGGGAAAACUUACCAGGUCCGGACAUAGUAAGGAUUGACAGAUUGAUAGCUCUUU